UAAUGCUUGGGAACUUGCCUUUGCGAGGGGGAUAACAGUUGGAAACGACUGCUAAUACCGCAUAAUGUCUUCGGACCAAACGGGGCUUCGGCUCCGGCGCAAAGAGAGGCCCAAGUGAGAUUAGCUAGUUGGUAAGGUAACGGCUUACCAAGGCGACGAUCUCUAGCUGUUCUGAGAGGAAGAUCAGCCACACUGGGACUGAGACACGGCCCAGACUCCUACGGGAGGCAGCAGUGGGGAAUAUUGCACAAUGGGGGAAACCCUGAUGCAGCCAUGCCGCGUGUGUGAAGAAGGCCUUCGGGUUGUAAAGCACUUUCAGUUGUGAGGAAAAGUUAGUAGUUAAUACCUGCUAGCCGUGACGUUAACAACAGAAGAAGCACCGGCUAACUCCGUGCCAGCAGCCGCGGUAAUACGGAGGGUGCGAGCGUUAAUCGGAAUUACUGGGCGUAAAGCGCACGCAGGCGGUUUGUUAAGCUAGAUGUGAAAGCCCCGGGCUCAACCUGGGAUGGUCAUUUAGAACUGGCAGACUAGAGUCUUGGAGAGGGGAGUGGAAUUCCAGGUGUAGCGGUGAAAUGCGUAGAUAUCUGGAGGAACAUCAGUGGCGAA
rnacentral:rRNA from 1 species